GACGUAGGUGGCAAGCGUUGUUCGGAAUCACUGGGCAUAAAGCGCACGUAGGCGGCCAAGUAAGUCAGGUGUGAAAUCCCUGGGCUCAACCCAGGAACUGCGUCCGAUACUGGUUGGCUUGAAUCCGGGAGAGGGACGUGGAAUUCCAGGUGUAGCGGUGAAAUGCGUAGAUAUCUGGAGGAACACCGGUGGCGAAGGCGACGUCCUGGACCGGCAUUGACGCUGAGGCGCGAAAGCCAGGGGAGCAAACGGG
rnacentral:rRNA from 1 species